UACGUAGGGACCAAGCGUUGUUCGGAUUUACUGGGCGUAAAGGGCGCGUAGGCGGCGCGGUAAGUCACUUGUGAAAUCUCUGAGCUUAGCUCAGAACGGCCAAGUGAUACUGCAGUGCUAGAGUGUGGAAGGGGCAAUCGGAAUUCUUGGUGUAGCGGUGAAAUGCGUAGAUAUCAAGAGGAACACCUGAGGUGAAGACGGGUUGCUGGGCCAACACUGACGCUGAUGCGCGAAAGCCAGGGGAGCAAACAGG
rnacentral:rRNA from 1 species